CCUCAGCACAGCUCAUAAACUCGUAUGCAUUACCAUCCACAGACAAAGAACAUAGUAAUUUUAUUACAACAGAGAGAAUUAAAACAACUGAACAAUCUUCAUAUUCAUUUUCUAUUCUCAACUCAACGACCAUCCAUCAACUGCAGCCAAUCCGAACAGUCUCAAUUACUAUCAUUAUAUUAUACCCUUGUUUAAAUACAUGCUCUUUUUUUAGCCGAUGUUGCUGCAGCUGCUCUUUGCUUCUCCAAGUGUUCAAAAAGACUUCCAUCGUAAGCAGCUUUCACCGUCUCUUUCUGCAGCAAACCAUCACUGUCCUUGCACAGAACGUACAGUGUUUUCCAUUCUGUCCAGCUUGCAAUCCAUCCUGUAUAGUCUUUAAAUUCUCUGUUCGCCCUUAGCAUUGCCAUCAGUUCACCUGAUGUCAGUGCAUUUGGAUGUGUAUGUGCAUACUUUCGGAAAAUAGCUUCAAAUUUCUCAUGAAGAAACUUUCCAUUCUUAUCAUAGACACCAGAAUCGCUCCCAUGUUUGCCAAGAUGGAUAUUCUGAACCUCAAUAGGGAAUAGCAGAGAAGGAUACUUUCCAGGGCGAGUUUUCUGGCUGAGACCUAUAUUGAUGAAAAGAGCACUGGCAACAGAAAACAGGACACCACACCCAAUUGACCGAAAACCUUGAAACGUCUCCCAGGGAUAAACGAUACCAUCAUGAUUCCUGUCAAAGAAGAAAACAUGCUUCUGCAGAACGUUUUGGUCAUUUGGCAUAAAUUUUCCCUUUUCUUGCUUGUCGCUUGUUAUAGAAUUAGAGGAAGCCAUAGCCUAAGAAAUCAAACAGAGAGAGAUAGAGAAGGGUUUAUGCUUGGUUGGAAGGGAAUAAUCAAGAAAGCAAAUAUUGUCAAAAGCAAAUAUUGUCAGAAGCUAAGAGAGAGUGCUGUGCUUUUAGGCUUUCG
rnacentral:misc_RNA from 1 species